AAGCUAGAGUAUGUCAGAGGGGGGUAGAAUUNCACGUGUAGCAGUGAAAUGCGUAGAGAUGUGGAGGAAUACCGAUGGCGAAGGCAGCCCCCUGGGAUAAUACUGACGUUCAUGCUNGAAAGCGUGGGUAGCAAACAGGAUUAGAUACCCUGGUAGUCCACGCCCUAAACGAUGUCAAUUAGCUGUUGGGGCACUUGAUGCCUUAGUAGCGAAGCUAACGCGUGAAAUUGACCGCCUGGGGAGUACGGUCGCAAGAUUAAAACUCAAAGGAAUUGACGGGGACCCGCACAAGCGGUGGAUGAUGUGGAUUAAUUCGAUGCAACGCGAAGAACCUUACCUGGUCUUGACAUGUACGGAAUCUUCCAGAGACGGAAGAGUGCCUUCGGGAGCCGUAACACAGGUGCUGCAUGGCUGUCGUCAGCUCGUGUCGUGAGAUGUUGGGUUAAGUCCCGCAACGAGCGCAACCCUUGUCAUUAGUUGCCACCAUUUAGUUGGGCACUCUAAUGAGACUGCCGGUGACAAACCGGAGGAAGGUGGGGAUGACGUCAAGUCCUCAUGGCCCUUAUGACCAGGGCUUCACACGUCAUACAAUGGUCGGUACAGAGGGUAGCCAAGCCGCGAGGUGGAGCCAAUCUCAGAAAACCGAUCGUAGUCCGGAUUGCACUCUGCAACUCGAGUGCAUGAAGUCGGAAUCGCUAGUAAUCGCAGGUCAGCAUACUGCGGUGAAUACGUUCCCGGGUCUUGUACACACCG
rnacentral:rRNA from 1 species